UACGUAGGGGGCGAGCGUUGUCCGGAGUUACUGGGCGUAAAGGGCAUGCAGGCGGUCGGACACGUUUUGUGUGACAGCGGGUGGCUUAACUACCCGAGCAUGCGAAAGACGGUUGGACUUGAGGACUCGAGAGGGACACGGAAUUCCGGGUGGAGUGGUGAAAUGCGUAGAGAUCCGGAGGAACACCGAAGGCGAAGGCAGUGUCCUGGCGAGUGACUGACGCUGAGGUGCGAAAGCCAGGGGAGCGAACGGG
rnacentral:rRNA from 1 species